ACGCUCGACACCUACGGGAGCAGCAGUGGGGAAUAUUGCACAAUGGGGGAAACCCUGAUGCAGCGAUGCCGCGUGAAGGAAGAAGUAUCUCGGUAUGUAAACUUCUAUCAGCAGGGAAGAAAAUGACGGUACCUGACUAAGAAGCCCCGGCUAACUACGUGCCAGUAGCCGCGGUAAUCUGAGCGGGCUGGCAAGGC
rnacentral:rRNA from 1 species